rnacentral:rRNA from 1 species
UACAUAAAAAAGCUUGCUUUUUUGAUGACGAGUGGCGCACGGGUGCGUAACGCGUAUACAAUCUACCUUUUACAGGGGGAUAGCCUUUAGAAAUGAAGAUUAAUACCCCAUAGAAUAUAUAGAUGGCAUCAUUUAAAUAUUAAAGUUUCGGCGGUAAAAGAUGAGUAUGCGUUCUAUUAGCUAGUAGGUGUGGUAACGGCACACCUAGGCAACGAUAGAUAGGGGCCCUGAGAGGGGGAUCCCCCGCACUGGUACUGAGACACGGACCAGACUCCUACGGGAGGCAGCAGUGAGGAAUAUUGGACAAUGGGCGGAAGCCUGAUCCAGCCAUGCCGCGUGCAGGAAGACUGCCCUAUGGGUUGUAAACUGCUUUUAUACGGGAAGAAACCCAACUACGUGUAGUUGGCUGACGGUACCGUAAGAAUAAGCAUCGGCUAACUCCGUGCCAGCAGCCGCGGUAAUACGGAGGAUGCAAGCGUUAUCCGGAAUCAUUGGGUUUAAAGGGUCCGUAGGUGGAUUAAUAAGUCAGAGGUGAAAUCCUACAGCUUAACUGUAGAACUGCCUUUGAAACUGUUAAUCUUGAAUUAUUGUGAAGUAGUUAGAAUAUGUAGUGUAGCGGUGAAAUGCAUAGAUAUUACAUAGAAUACCGAUUGCGAAGGCAGAUUACUAACAAUAUAUUGACACUGAUGGACGAAAGCGUGGGGAGCGAACAGGAUUAGAUACCCUGGUAGUCCACGCCGUAAACGAUGGUCACUAGCUGUUCGGACUUCGGUCUGAGUGGCUAAGCGAAAGUGAUAAGUGACCCACCUGGGGAGUACGUUCGCAAGAAUGAAACUCAAAGGAAUUGACGGGGGCCCGCACAAGCGGUGGAGCAUGUGGUUUAAUUCGAUGAUACGCGAGGAACCUUACCAGGGCUUAAAUGUAAGUUGCAUGAUUUAGAGAUAGAUCUUUCUUCGGACUACUUACAAGGUGCUGCAUGGUUGUCGUCAGCUCGUGCCGUGAGGUGUCAGGUUAAGUCCUAUAACGAGCGCAACCCCUGUUGUUAGUUGCCAGCGAGUAAUGUCGGGAACUCUAGCAAGACUGCCGGUGCAAACCGAAAAGGAAGGUGGGG